CAUAGACUCACUUGGGGCCUAGUGAAGUAAUUUGGACUCUGCGUAAUUUAGAACACUUACUAAAAUUAUUAAGAAAAGGGGCUGAGGCAGGAGAAUCACACGUUUCAGCUCCGCUUAGCCUACUUAACAUGAUCCUAUCUCAAAAUAAAAAAUAACUGUGUCUCAAAAUAGAAAAUAACUGCUGGCCAUGUAGCUCAGUGAGAAAGGCUCUAGUUCCAUCCUCAGUACUGCCAUAACUAAGUAACUAAAUAAAUGUUCUCUUUUUAAAAUUACUUGGCAUCGUUUCUUAGGUGAGUCUGGAGGAGAGGGCCUCCCAUUGUGUGACCCGUCACUUGUUGCAGUGAAUAGGUGUAUAAUAAAGGCCAAGGGUUGGGCGCCAGUUCUGAGACCGUGAGGCGGGCCCUCACAGUGCUGUGAGGGUAGCCAGGCUCCGAGAGCCACGGGAAUCUUUGUCUCUCUGAUCCCUAAUGGAGCCAAUUGUGAUUUUCCUACCCUGGGUGAAAUUUGAGCACGUUCUGAUUAUAAAAUGACUCUCGGACUUCAGACACUGCAGACUGCAGUUGACCAGAGGAGGAAACUGGUGGCCGUUCUCAGCAGGCCUCGCGCUGUUCCCCACCUCCUGGCUUCCAGCCAUCUCACAACUGUCAUUGAAAGAGAGCCAAACACCCUGUCCUCACAGAUAAAGGCAGCCCUCUUGACACUGGCUUCCCUUUAGCCUCUGGGCCUCUCAACAUCCUUCUACAGUAGAGUGGGAUGCAGGCAACAUCACACGUUAGCUGACAGCCCAGGAUUUGGGAGUCUGGAUUUACUUUCCAGGACUUGUCUGCUACAUAGGCUUGGAUAAGUCAAUUCACGUCCCCCAGGAUCGGCUACACAUAGCUAAAAUGUAAUAGGAGCAGCCAGGGCCAAGGAGAGGGAUAAAUAAACUAAUGUAUGUGGG
rnacentral:lncRNA from 1 species